GGUGGGCAUGGUGGUGCAUGCCUGUAAUCCCAGCUACCUGGGAGGCUGAGUCAGGAGAAUUGCUUGAACCCAGGAGGUAGAGGUUGCAGUGAGCCGAGAUCGUGCCACUGCACUCUAGCCUGGGUGACAGAGUGAGACUCUGUCUCAA
rnacentral:SRP_RNA from 2 species